UCACCUGUGUCGAGGGGUCGUGUGAGGUUCAUGUAUUGUCUUGGCGUCCGCAAUUACAAAAAGAUCUUUUCUGAAAUUACUUGACCAAAUGUUACCAAAUGAUUUUUCAAGAGUGAAUCUAGGAAAAACAAUAUUCAUCAACAAACAUGACCACUGUCUGUCAAAAUGUAUUCGAGUUUUUAGUUACAGCCGAUUCCAUUGAGUAUGUAGGCAAAGGUAAUAUCUU
rnacentral:lncRNA from 1 species